AUUGAACGCUGGCGGCAGGCCUAACACAUGCAAGUCGAACGAAGUGGCGCACGGGUGAGUAAUAUAUAGUUAAUCUGCCCUACACAGAGGAAAAACAGUUGGAAAAGGCUACUAAUACCUCAUAGUGUAGGCUGAGACGAUAUCGUUACAGCUAGUUGGUAAGGUAAAGGCUUACCCAGGCUAUGACGCGUAACUGGUCUGAGAGGAUGAUCAGUCACAUUGGAACGUAGACACGAGCCAAGCUCCUACGGUAGGCAGCAGUAAGGAAUAUUGCGCAAUGGGGGAAAUCCUGACGCAGCAACGCCGCGUGGAGGAUGACACUUUUCGGAGCGUAAACUCCGUUUAUCAGGAAAGCGGUACCUGAUGAAUAAGCACCGGCUAACUCCGUGCCAGCCGCCGCGGUAAUAC
rnacentral:rRNA from 1 species